rnacentral:rRNA from 1 species
GUAGUCAUAUGCUUGUCUCAAAGAUUAAUCCAUGCAUGUGUAAGUAUAAGUAUUGUACAGCGAACUGCGAAUGGCUCAUUACAUCAGUUAUUAUUUAUUUGAUAAUCGAAAGUUACAUGGAUAACCGUGACAAAUUACAGCUAAUACAUGCAGUCAGACCUGGUCCAAGGGUCGUAAUUAUUAGUAUUAAACCAUUUCCGAAAGGAGUGUGAUGAAUCAUAAUAAUCGAACGAAUCGCCUGGUGUGCGAUAAAUCAUUCAAGUUUCUGCCCUAUCAGCUUUGGAUGGUAGUGUAUUGGACUACCAUGGCAGUCACGGGUAACGGAGAAUUAGGGUUCGAUUCCGGAGAGGGAGCCUGAGAAACGGCUACCACAUCUACGGAAGGCAGCAGGAGCGAAAAUUGCCCAAUCCUGACACGGGGAGGCAGUGACAAGAAAUAACAACUCUAGGUUAUUCUUAGAAGUGUAAUGAGGAUAAUUUACAACCCUUACCGAAAGCAAUUGGAGGGCAAGUCUGGU